UGUGCACUUACAGAUCCCUUCCUAAGAGUUCAACCUGAGGGUCGAGAAGGAGAGACAUUCACUGUGACCUCAUCUGGAAAGGGAAUUGAAAUCUGCAUUGUCGGUAUCUGUCUGCAUUGCAAAUCAGCCAUCCAGUCAACUGCAGUUAUAUAGGGCCUUGGUAAGACCACAUGUGGAGUAUUCUGUGCAGUUUUUGCUUUCUAACAAGGGUUCCAGCAUCCAUACUAUUUUACUUCCAUCUUAUGCUGAUAUUUUCUGACAAAAUCUAUAUCCUCCCUCAAGUUUGGUGAUAUUUCUGACCUCAAUGUUCACACGAUGUUGCCUGAAACACAUUUCAUCGUACUCAUUAGAUGUUUUGGAGUGGCAACGAGAGUUCACUAGAGUUUAAAAGAAUGAGAAGCAAUUUCCUUCUAAAGAUUUCCAGCAAACUCCAGUUCUUUGCUUUAUUUUAGUGAAUGUCACCAACUGUUCUCUGGACAAUUAGGGAAGGGCAAUAAAUACUUACCGAACCAAUGAAGUCCACAUCCUGUGAAUGACAUAAAAGAAAGUUUGGAAAAGCCUGAACAAGGGCUUGAUGAUUUCUCUCAAAGAGAAUAUCAAUGAAAUUUCAGUUAACAGAAUGGAAAUAUUUUCCUCAAAGCCUUUGGAGUAAUAUAGUUACUGCAGUGAACUGCAUAGCUGGGGGUUCCUGAGUUGAGUGUAGGUCCAACAUGGAACUCAGCAUCGGUGCAGGUGUUAUUGGUCAGCCGGUUCUGGGUUCAGGAAUCAUGAUGGAGGCAAUGGAAUGAAGUUGGACUCUUUUUCAGCUAUACCUUUUUAUGCUUAAACUAUUCAAAAUGGUGUCAGGCUGUGGCAACAGUUGAAGCUUUUCACUGUAUUUUAUUAUGUUGUUCAUUGUGACAGUACGAGUGACAAUAA